rnacentral:rRNA from 1 species
GCGAACGCUGGCGGCAUGGCUAAAGCAUGCAAGUCGAACGUUUAAAGCCCCUUCGGGGGUUUAUAGAGUGGCGCAAGGGCGAGUAACACGUUCCUACGUACCCCGAGGUCGAGGAUAGUCCAGGGAAACCUGGAGUAAUACUCGAUGUGGUCUUCGGAUCAAAGGCUUGCCGCCUCGGGAGCGGGGAACGUCCUAUCAGGUUGUUGGUGAGGUAACGGCUCACCAAGCCGAAGACGGGUAGCGGGUGUGAGAGCAUGGCCCGCCGCAUCGGGACUGAGACACUGCCCGGACUCCUACGGGAGGCUGCAGCAACGAAUCUUCCGCAAUGCGCGCAAGCGUGACGGAGCAAUGCCGCGUGCAGGAUGAAGCCCCUCGGGGUGUAAACUGCUGUCAGGGUUCAGCAACACAAUGAGCAGACCCAAAGGAAGGGCCGGCUAACUUCGU